AUCCAGCUAGUGACGAGUCCCGAACAGGACGAAAUGCACAUCCUGGAU
rfam:Trichobilharzia regenti genome assembly, scaffold: TRE_scaffold0005831